GCCCUGGUGGUCGAAUUGGUACGACGCCUGCCUGGAUAGUAGGAGACUCCAGGUUCGAUCCCUGGCUGAGGUG
rnacentral:tRNA from 1 species